GACGAACGCUGGCGGCGUGCUUAACACAUGCAAGUCGAACGGAAAGGCCCUGCCUUGGUUUGGUGCUCGAGUGGCGAACGGGUGGGUAACACGUGAGUAACCUGCCCUUGACAUUGGGAUAACUUUAGGAAACGAGGGCUAAUACCGCAUAGGAGCUCCUGCUGCAUGGUGGGGGUGGGAAAGUUUGGGCGGUGGGGGAUGGACUCGCGGCUUCUCAGCUUCUUGGUGGGGUAGUGGCUUACCAAGACUUUGACGGGUGGCCGGCCUGGGAGGGUGACCGGCCACAUUGGGACUGGGCUGAGGCACAGACUCGUACGGGAGGCAACGGUGCGGUAGAUAGCACUACGGGCUGAAGCAUGACGUGACGAAGCGGCGUGGGGGAUGACGAGAAGCGGGUUGUAAAGCGCUUUCCCCUGUGACGAAGAGUGAGUGACGGUAAUGGGUAAAGAAGCAACGGCUAACUACGUG
rnacentral:rRNA from 1 species